rnacentral:lncRNA from 1 species
GGACUUAAAAUUAGGUCCCCAAGAAGCUAUGUUGAAAUGUCCUGCUCAAUAUAGUGCAUCCUUGGUAGAUAUGUUUGGGGCAAGAGAGCUUAUUGUGUGAGGUUUUGUUCAGGGGUAAAAAUUUGGAUUACAGCAAAACCCAGUCAUGCAGUUAACCCCAUGAGAGUGGGACUCUGAUGUUAAUUGUGGGGACUACUCUCAAUGAAAUCAAGUUUUAUGAAUAUCCUACGUUAAGAAACUGACAACUUAGUCGGGCGUGGUGGCACACGCCUUUAAUCCCAGCAAUCAGGAGGCAGAGGCAGGUGGAUUUCUGAGUUCGAGGACAGCCAGGGCUAUACAGAGAAACCCUGUCUCGAAAAAAGCAAAAAAACAAAAAACAAAAAACAAAAACAAAACAAAACAAAAACAAAAAUGCAAAAGCAAGAGAAACUGACAGCUUACAUAGCACCCCAAGAAAUAUUUUUUCAAAGCUGCACAGAAGCAAAGUUGGGUUAUCACAUGAAUAUUACAACAUAGCUACCUUAGUAGUUUUGUUGUUGUUGUGUUUUAGGUGACAACAUUUUAUAGGUUAGACAAACAUAACUUCAUAAACUUCAGGAGCAAUGCAUUCUUGUUUAACAAAGAAAAAAACCCCAAACAAACCCAAAAUAUACUUUUUCCUUUUUACUCCUUUAGAAUAGAUUGGGGGAACUUUUUAUUUGUUGUGGGGUUUUUUGAGACAAGGUCUUAAUGUGUAAUUCAAGUUAGCCUUGAACUCAACAUUGUUUUGCCUCAACAACCUAAGUGCUAGGAUUACAUUCUAUAUGAGAAAACUUUAAAACAGGUCAAAAUUAUUUUUCUUCUUCCACAGACAGGUGAGGAGAACCUUAACCAUCAUUGCAGUUAAUGUCUUGUACUUAACUGGUUGUACAUUAGUGCAAAACUCUUCAUUACGGUGAUCAUUUCCUUAUUAGACUUGAAUUACUUGUUAGUAGGAGUUACCUGUUCAUCUUUGUAAUCCCUAUAGUAGCUAUGGUGUUUCAUAAAUAUUAAGAUAAAAAUUUCCAGCGUCUAGAAAGAUGGCUCAACAGUUAAGAGUACUGGGUGUUCUUGCAGAGGAACAGAAUUCUGUUUCCAGCACUCAAAGGAACUUCAUGCCCUCCAGGAACUUCAGCUUCAGGAGAUCUGAUGCCCUCUUCUGGUUUCCACAGCCACCUGUACACACAUCAUCUGCUCACACAGAUACAUUAAUAAAAAGAAAUCUUUAAAACUAUACUUUCAGGGAUGAGUGCUAUAGUUGGCUACUAGAGAAGUUUUUCUGUAUAGAGAAUAAAUAAAUAUUUUCAAUUCUGAGUCAUCUAUUUCUUCAGUGAUGCUGUUUCCACAAAUGAUAAUGAGGGAAAGAGGGAAGUUGAAAAUUGAUACUUUUGCUUUAAGAUAAUGACUGAGUUUCCAACUACGCCUAGUUGGGAGGAAGGUAGAAGGGCAAUGAGUCCACCUAUUGUGAGAUCCUUGCAUUCCUUUUUUGUGUGGGUACCUGGAGGAAUGGCUGCUUCCUUUUCCCUGGCACUGCCAGUGAAUGUCCCUAGUAAAAUCGAGAAAGCAGCACAUGAUACUUCUCACAGACAUUAAAACUUUCGGUUUGAGUAAAAAUAGGAAGUUGUAUCUACACACUGGAUAGCUUUCUUUAGCUAUGAGCCCAUUGAAAAUAUGAGCACAGUUCAAGGAAGGUGUCUGUCUGGCCAAGCUGCUUUACCUGGUCAGCAUACAUGUAAGCUUGUUCACUUAGUCAGAGGGUUUUUAAAGGAUGGUAUCAAUUUCAUUUCCUGAAAAUCACUUUUUAUUGAUUAACUAGUCUUAUCAGAAAUUUCAC